GGGAAAGUAAAUGUUAUUGGUUUAAUAGUUAAAUGAUUUAUUUUUAUUAAGAUGAUUAUUUUUAGGUGAAAUUUAUAAUUUUUAUUUAAUAAUUUUUGGUUGAAACUAUGAAACUCAUAUUAGAAACGAGGAUUAGAUACCCUUUUAUUUUGAGUGUGAAGGAUGAACCUGGGUAGUAAUAGUUAUGUUCUUGAAACCCAAAGGAUUUGGCGGUAUUUUAGUCCUUUCAGAGGAAUCUGUCCCGUAAUCGACAGCCCACGAAUAGAUAUACUUGAUUUUGUUCAAUCAGUUUGUAUACCUCCGUCAUAAGAGUAUCUUUUUAGAGUGGAAUUUUCUUAAUAUAAGGAAUAUAAUAUGUCAGGUCAAGGUGCAACUUAUAAUUAAGUGGAGAUGGAUUACAAUAAAUUUAUUUAAAUGGAAUGGAUUAUUUAAAAUUUUAUGAAGGUGGAUUUGAUAGUAAAAUUAAUAUAUUAUUAUUUUGAUUCUGGCUCUAAAAUAUGCACACAUCGCCCGUCGCUCUCAUUAUUAAAAUGAGAUAAGUCGUAACAUAGUAGGUGUAUCGGAAGAUGUAUCUAGGAAGUA
rnacentral:rRNA from 1 species